rnacentral:piRNA from 1 species
UGCCAGUCCUUUUCAAGCCGUCUUCUUUU